rnacentral:piRNA from 1 species
UGCAAGACAGAAGUGUCCCAAGCACUGGUA